UACGGAGGGUGCAGUCGUUAUCCGGAAUCACUGGGUUUAAAGGGUGCGUAGGCGGCUAAAUAAGUCAGAGGUGAAAGCUUGCAGCUUAACUGCGAAAUUGCCUUUGAUACUGUAUAGCUUGAAAGGAGCUGAGGUCAGCAGAAUGUGGCAUGUAGCGGUGAAAUGCAUAGAUAUGCCAUAGAAUACCAAUUGCGAAGGCAACUGGCUGGGCUUACUAUGACGCUGAGGCACGACAGCGUGGGGAUCGAACAGG
rnacentral:rRNA from 1 species